UACGGGGGGGGCAAGCGUUGUUCGGAAUUACUGGGCGUAAAGGGCUCGUAGGCGGCCAACUAAGUCAAACGUGAAAUCCCUCGGCUUAACCGGGGAACUGCGUCUGAUACUGGAUGGCUUGAAUUCGGGAGAGGGAUGUGGAAUUCCAGGUGUAGCGGUGAAAUGCGUAGAUAUCUGGAGGAACACCGGUGGCGAAGGCGGCAUCCUGGACCGACAUUGACGCUGAGGCGCGAAAGCCAGGGGAGCAAACGGG
rnacentral:rRNA from 1 species